GCUCCCGUGGUGUAGUGGCAAUCAUCUUAGACUUUCUAUCUAUUGUCCUGGGUUCAAAUCCCGGCGGGAGUACCA
rnacentral:tRNA from 1 species